UGCUCUGAGGAUGAUCAAAACAAUUUCGUUCUUCCGAGGUUUUUAUUAAUCUAUGUUGAAAGAAAUUGAGACCUGAACCGAAGAGGA